rnacentral:rRNA from 1 species
AUUGAACGCUGGCGGCAGGCCUAACACAUGCAAGUCGAACGAGUGGCGGACGGGUGAGUAAUGUAUGGGAAUCUGGCUGAUGUAGGGGGAUAACUACGGGAAACGGUAGCUAAUACCGCGUACCAUCCGAUGAGCCCACGUGGGAUUAGGUAGUAGGUGAGGUAAAGGCUCACCUAGGCGACGAUCCCUAGCUGGUCUGAGAGGAUGACCAGCCACACUGGAACUGAGACACGGCCCAGACUCCUACGGGAGGCAGCAGUGGGGAAUAUUGCGCAAUGGGCGAAAGCCUGAUGCAGCCAUGCCGCGUGUAUGAAGAAGGCCUUAGGGUUGUAAAGUACUUUCAGCGGGGAGGCGUUACCCGCAGAAGAAGCACCGGCUAACUCCGUGCCAGCAGCCGCGGUAAUUC